UAGGUGUUGAAGCCAGUUCAGGAUUAUGGCA
rnacentral:piRNA from 1 species